GACGAACGCUGGCGGCGUGCUUAACACAUGCAAGUCGAACGAUGAAGCCUAGCUUGCUAGGUGGAUUAGUGGCGAACGGGUGAGUAAUACGUGAGUAACCUACCUUUAACUCUGGGAUAAGCCUGGGAAACUGGGUCUAAUACCGGAUACGACCAAUCUCCGCAUGGGGUGUUGGUGGAAAGCGUUAUGUAGUGGUUAUAGAUGGGCUCACGGCCUAUCAGCUUGUUGGUGAGGUAACGGCUCACCAAGGCGACGACGGGUAGCCGGCCUGAGAGGGUGACCGGCCACACUGGGACUGAGACACGGCCCAGACUCCUACGGGAGGCAGCAGUGGGGAAUAUUGCACAAUGGGCGCAAGCCUGAUGCAGCGACGCCGCGUGAGGGAUGACGGCCUUCGGGUUGUAAACCUCUGUUAGCAGGGAAGAAGAGAAAUUGACGGUACCUGCAGAGAAAGCGCCGGCUAACUACGUGCCAGCAGCCGCGGUAAUACGUAGGGCGCGAGCGUUGUCCGGAAUUAUUGGGCGUAAAGAGCUUGUAGGCGGUUUGUCGCGUCUGCUGUGAAGGCCGGGGCUUAACCCCGUGUAUUGCAGUGGGUACGGGCAGACUAGAGUGCAGUAGGGGAGACUGGAAUUCCUGGUGUAGCGGUGGAAUGCGCAGAUAUCAGGAGGAACACCGAUGGCGAAGGCAGGUCUCUGGGCUGUAACUGACGCUGAGAAGCGAAAGCAUGGGGAGCGAACUGGAUUAGAUACCCUGGUAGUCCAUGCCGUAAACGUUGGGCACUAGGUGUGGGGGACAUUCCACGUUUUCCGCGCCGUAGCUAACGCAUUAAGUGCCCCGCCUGGGGAGUACGGCCGCAAGGCUAAAACUCAAAGAAAUUGACGGGGGCCCGCACAAGCGGCGGAGCAUGCGGAUUAAUUCGAUGCAACGCGAAGAACCUUACCAAGGCUUGACAUAUACUGGACCGCAUCAGAGAUGGUGUUUCCCUUCGGGGCUGGUAUACAGGUGGUGCAUGGUUGUCGUCAGCUCGUGUCGUGAGAUGUUGGGUUAAGUCCCGCAACGAGCGCAACCCUCGUUCUAUGUUGCCAGCACGUUAUGGUGGGGACUCAUAGGAGACUGCCGGGGUCAACUCGGAGGAAGGUGGGGAUGACGUCAAAUCAUCAUGCCCCUUAUGUCUUGGGCUUCACGCAUGCUACAAUGGCCGGUACAGAGGGUUGCGAUACUGUGAGGUGGAGCUAAUCCCUAAAAGCCGGUCUCAGUUCGGAUUGGGGUCUGCAACUCGACCCCAUGAAGUCGGAGUCGCUAGUAAUCGCAGAUCAGCAACGCUGCGGUGAAUACGUUCCCGGGCCU
rnacentral:rRNA from 1 species